GCCGGAACCUCAAGUCCAUCGUGGUGCAGGUGGGGAUUGUGGAUUACUUCAAGGAGCCCCACAGCCCUGAAGCCAGGAAGAUGUUUGAGGAAAUGGUGAACAAACUCCAGGCCCUGAGGAAAAGACCCGGCUUCUCCAAGAUUUUACACAUCAAGGUGGAAGGAGGCUGUUAGCCCUUCAGGGAACCCAAAGCACAUUCCCUGCUCUGCCUGGCGGAGCCCCUGAGCCCCAGCCCAGCGUGGGCCGGAGCAGGGUCCCCCCGGCUCGUGCACAAGGAACCCCAAACUCUCGCAGGCCCCCGGGGCCGCUCGCGGGCGAGAAGGUGCUACUCAAGGACAUUUCUUGGCUGCCCCAAGAGCUGGGGCCGUGCUCUUUCCUGGGGGGAAGAUGGCUUUGAACCCCUGCUCUGCUCCUCUCCAAGGAUCCGUGCUCGGGGAUGGCUGUUCCGUCAAACUCUGGUUUGGGCUCUUUGCCCGUCUGAGGAUGGUUCUGGGGCUGAGCCUGGGCUGCCCCUGGGCUCAGAGGGGCGAUGGAGGGGGGUGGAAGGGGCUGUUCCUGCCCAGGGCCCAGCACACAGCAGGGUUCCCCCUCGUUUUCCUUUGGGUUUGACAGAGGGGCCCCCAAAGCUGGGGAAACGCUCCCAGAAACCAGCACAAAGAGCAGAGCUGCACCUCGGGGGCUUGGGGAGCCACAGGACACCAGGAGACAUGGGAGCUCUUCCAGAGGUCUCCAGCCUCACUUCUUCUCCACCAAAACCCUCCUGCCAAGGCAAUAAACCAUCUCCAGAAUCCUCAUCCAGCAGGAAACACGGCUCACAGGUCACACACCAUCCCCAGCCAGUCUCCAUCCGGGCUCCGCUGUCCCACGUGGAGAGAGGGACAGUCACGGGACACCCACGUUUGCCAUCCCAUGGCCUUCCCGAGCAGCCUGAAGGAGAAACCCUGGCCAGAUCAUCCUGGAAUUGUCCUGGGAAAAGCACCAACCAACAGCCCUGGCUGACCUUUAUCUACAGCCACCGUUUUUGAAAUCUGAUUUUAAUUCUGAGUGUCCUCUGCCUGCAAGGACAUCAUCAUCCCCCGGAUAUCCUUUAUCCAUAGGAAAAGGCUUUGGAGAGGCAUCCAGCAGGGUGAGGAUCCGGACCCUGAAGGUACCAGGAGGUGCUGCUGGGAUUGGGGACAGCCAGCAGUGAGGACACCCCGGCGACUGGGAAAAUGGAUUUGGGGCUUUUCCCUCUCCUCUGGACCAGCGCUGGAGGUUUUGGUGCCUGCUGGCCAGCCUGGCUGUGAGGGGACACCUCCCAGAGCAUCCCCCCAGGAGGGACCGGGCUGCAGAGCCAGCUCCACACCCCUCACCCAUGGCACAAGAGCUGCUGCCCUCGGCUGGGGCUGCCAGCCAGCCCGUGGGGAUCCCCAGAGGAAGGAAAAUCACCCCCAAACCGCUGAGGCUGCUCGUGGUUCUCCAACCCCACCUGGAGACCCUUCAGCCACCCUUCAGCCCAGCUGUGCUGUCUGCUCCGACACAGGGUCAGGGUUUUGUGGCCGUGGGAAGCACCUGGAUGCAGCUUUCCAGGAGAAGGCUGUCCCUGAACGCACAAAGUGGGGCAGCCCCGACUGCUGCACCCCAGCAGGUCCCCAGGGCUGAGCUCCCCGCACCGGGACCAGCUCCCUGCCACGCCUGCCGUGGCUUUACCUCCACCCCGGGGAGCUGGGACACUCCUGAUCCAGGGCCAGGAGGAGCAAGGGAUGUCCCAACCAGCAAAAAACCACCCAGCAAAGCUCCAACCCCCGGGGAGCCUCCAGCCCUGGCCAGGAGCACGGCCCAGCUGAGAUGUCACCACCACCCUGCAGGGACCUGUGAAAUUCCCUUCAAAACUAAACAAAGUACGUAUUUAUUUCUAUAAAGAGAAGAGGAAAAAAAAAAAAAAAAAUUUUAAAGGAAAAUGAUAUACUCAGCAUGUUUAUACACUCUAUGCUUAAAGACUCUGGUGGCCCAGCCCUGGGCCAAGCCUGGAUGCUCCGGUGCCUGGCCCCUCUCCUGGGGAAGGUGAGGAUGAGGUGAUGGAAGGAGGGAGGUGCUGAGGACCCUCAGAGGAGAUUUCUGUGCCAGUGGGGUCAGUGCUGUGCGUGUGGAGCGUGGGUGACUCUGUGACAUCCCCAUCCCUCGGCUGCCACCAGGGCUUUGGAUCCUCAGCAGGAUCCUCACCUGGAUUGGGUGCUUUGGUGCAUCCCCAAGAGCAGAUCAAACCAUCACCUCUCCUUGGGGUGUUCCCAAAACAUCCAGCUCAGCAAAGCCCCCUUUUUACAAAACUCUGAUGCCACGAGGCCUUGAGCAGGUUCAAGGAGUAGAAGAUGGAACGUGGAGGUUUCUCUGUUUUGCUUGGGCUGGAGUGGAUCCCUUCCUCAUCCUCCUCCUCCUCAGCUGGGGAUGAAGGCACAGUGACAGGAGUGAUGGGAAUGAGGGUCCUCCUGGUGGCUCCUAAUUGCCCAGCUUGCUAACGAGCUCAUUAGCGGCUCUGAGAUGUCAGAUGGAUCCUGCCCCUGCUGCUUGUCCUGCCCCGUGUGAGGCUCCAGCCACGGAUUCUCCCCUCAGCCUCGGAGCCUCGGCCCUCUGGAAGGGAUGGAAACAGCCAGAAAAUCCAGAUUUCCUGGGAAAGCCUUCAAAUCUCACAGCAGCACGUUCAGCUCAGCUCUCCUGGGACGUGCCAGAGGAGCUCUGCGAUGACAAUCCCCGCUGAAAUCCACGGAUUCACAGGGUUGGGGUCAGAGCUGCCAGGGCUGCGUGCACAGUGCUUCCGAGCCUGGCUCCUGCAGGGCCGCUUUUGGGGAGAUUUAUUCCUUUUCUAAUGUGUUUUCCUGAAGUUUCCCCAUGGCUGAUGUUCCCAGCAUUCCCCUGAGUUUGGGUACUGGUCAGGGAUUUCAAGAGGAACAACAUCACCAAAGCCAGCUCGGGGUCCAAAGCUAUCCCAAAUCCGUGUUUUUGUGUCUCCCUCCUGUUGGAUUUCACUCUUGCCCAUCAUUCCAAGCCCCAGGAAUGCUCUGGGGAUCAGCUGCCUCCUCCUGCCUUAUCCCUGAGCUCUGGGGCUCCGGGGUGUCGGGGACUGGGGGAGACGGGAGCCCCCAGGCUGGCUCUGCCCAGCGAGGUUUGAAACCUUUGUCCCUCUUCUUGCAGCGUGUCCUGGUCCCUGCUGCCACCAAGGGCAUGGCAGGGGCUUGUCUGGAUCCUCCAAAGGAGCCUGGAUUUAGGGAAAACAGAACCAAAAAACCCCAGGAGAAGUGUUGGCUCCCAAAGUGGUUAACAGAUGUUAUUUUCAGCUCUUAGGGGAGGCCCCAGCCCAGGAGCUGGAGCAUCGCUUCAGCCUCGUUUAGGGGUGGGAAGCAGCAGGGUGGGGUGGAGCAAAAACAUCCAGGAAUUGGUGCCAAAUGAGAAAGUGCUUUAAAAGGGAAAAAAAAUGCCAGGGAGCAGGGGGAUUUUGGGAAGCUGAGAUGGUUUGUUGUGAGCCAAGCAUUGCAGGGUGUUGAGGUGGUGAUGGACCUCCCCCAUCAGCGGGAGGCAAAAUCAUCCCUGGGGAGGGUGGGAGAGCGCUGGGGAAAAGCUGCUGCAGCAGCGAGGAGGGAAAACUGCCCAAAAGCAAGGGAAAAAAAAGGGGUUUUCUAAUGCAGCCUCGGGAUGGAGCCCCUGGAGGGGAGCGAGGCAGCGUGGGGCCGGGGACAAGUGGGUGCAAUGGUGUGGGGCAGUUUUUGGGAAGGGAAGGGGUGAUGCACACUUUGCUUUGAGAUAAUCAGAGGAGAUAAUCAGUGCAGAGAAUAGAGAUAUAUAAAUCCAGGAGCUGGAAUCAUUCCCUACAGCCCCCAGGGGCCCUGAACAGCGACCUCCCCUCCCCAGAGGUGCCCGUGGCCUCCCAAGUUAUUUUUUUAACUCUAUAUAAAUUUAGGUCUAUUUUAGUCUUUCUGCAGCGAUGUGCCAGUGUCUGGAGAACCAAACAUCCCUUUUUUUGCCCCCAUCCCCUGGUCCCUCGGUGCUGAAGCGGGCCCUUGGUGCGAGAUCUGCCGGAGCCGUGUCCUGGGGAGCUCCGGGAUGGGGCAGCAGCCGCGGCUGGCACGGGGGAGAGCCGGGGGUUUGGUGGGAGCAGGGCCCAGCUCCGGCCAGGAGUCCGUGUUUUUAGCACUUUGGUUGGAACUCUCACCUGUAGACGCACUUUGAUGUUGUUGCUUUGAAACUUUGGCAAGUGUAAACAAUGUGUAUUUAAAGAAUUACAGAGAAACGACCCCCAGCGAAGCGUGUAAAGAGCUAUUUUAUGACUCGGUGUUGAAUAAAGACUCUGGAGAUCGA